rnacentral:rRNA from 1 species
UACGUAGGGUGCGAGCGUUGUCCGGAAUUAUUGGGCGUAAAGAGCUCGUAGGCGGUCUGUCGCGUCGAUCGUGAAAACUUGGGGCUUAACCCUGAGCUUGCGGUCGAUACGGGCAUCACUGGAGUUCGGCAGGGGAGACUGGAAUUCCUGGUGUAGCGGUGAAAUGCGCAGAUAUCAGGAGGAACACCAGUGGCGAAGGCGGCUUCUGGACGGUAACUGACGCUGAGACGCGAAAGCGUGGGGAGCAAACAGG